UCAUUUUUUUAAAAAAAGGAUAAGCCAUGCUUUUAUUGUUAUUGGGCCAGUAUACAUGUAAUGGCCCAAUAACAAUGCAAGCAUGGCUUAUUCUUUUUUAUAAAAAUGA